AAUCAACGCUGGCGGCGUGCCUCAGACAUGCAAGUCGAACGAUUAAGACUUCCUUCGGGAAGUGUAUAAAGUGACGCACGGGUGAGUAACACGUAAGUAAUCUACCUUCGAGUGGGGAAUAACAUCGGGAAACCGAUGCUAAUACCGCAUAAUGCAGCGGCAUCGCAAGAUGACCGUUGUUCAAGGAGCAAUUUGCUUGAAGAGGAGCUUGCGGCAGAUUAGCUAGUUGGUAAGGUAAUGGCUUACCAAGGCUACGAUCUGUAUCCGGUCUAAGAGGACGGUCGGACACACUGACACUGAAUAACGGGUCAGACUCCUACGGGAGGCAGCAGUCGGGAAUUUUGGGCAAUGGGCGAAAGCCUGACCCAGCAACGCCGCGUGAGGGAUGAAGUAUUUCGGUAUGUAAACCUCGAAAGAAUGGGAAGAAUAAAUGACGGUACCAUUUAUAAGCUCCGGCUAACUACGUGCCAGCCGCCGCAGUAAUAC
rnacentral:rRNA from 1 species